GAUGAACGCUGGCGGCGUGCCUAAUACAUGCAAGUCGAGCGAACAGACGAAGAGCUUGCUCCUUCGACGUUAGCGGCGGACGGGUGAGUAACACGUAGGUAACCUACCUAUAAGACUGGGAUAACUUCGGGAAACCGGAGCUAAUACCGGAUAAUAUUUCGAACCGCAUGGUUCGAUAGUGAAAGAUGGCUUUGCUAUCACUUAUAGAUGGACCUGCGCCGUAUUAGCUAGUUGGUAAGGUAACGGCUUACCAAGGCAACGAUACGUAGCCGACCUGAGAGGGUGAUCGGCCACACUGGAACUGAGACACGGUCCAGACUCCUACGGGAGGCAGCAGUAGGGAAUCUUCCGCAAUGGGCGAAAGCCUGACGGAGCAACGCCGCGUGAGUGAUGAAGGUCUUCGGAUCGUAAAACUCUGUUAUUAGGGAAGAACAAACGUGUAAGUAACUGUGCACGUCUUGACGGUACCUAAUCAGAAAGCCACGGCUAACUACGUG
rnacentral:rRNA from 1 species